AGUUGGGUUCCCUCAAAAUUGUUUCCCCCUAAUUUAUAAUGCCUAGAUUAAAGCUUUUGUUUCCUAUUAGGGGUCAAAACCCUACAAAGACUAAGCACUUAAAAGAAAAUAGAGAAGUUACCGUCAUCUUCUCCCAUCUCAAUCCCUACUUUCAACUUUUGUUCUCAAGGAAUAACUAAGUUUGGUGAGAUGCGUACAAUUGUGCUCGAUUUGCUUGCGGAUCUAUCCGAAAAUCAAAUUAGAAAUCGAUUUGCUUGUGAAUCUACCCGAAAAUCAAAGUAGAGUGUUAGCAAAUUAUGCAGCUCGAGGCUGGUUUAAAACAACAAGCUAUGCUAUAUCGGGAGGGGUGGGGCAAGUUGGUUGGUGUCUUCGGAGAUUUACUCGGCUCAUGGUCGACAACAAAUGAUUCAAAUCUAAUUCUUGGCGAGGAGUGAUGAAAGCAUCAAAAUCGACAACGCAUGAAUAAUUAUUUUUCUCUUGUAAAAGUAUAUUAAUAUAUUUGAAUAGAAUGAUGUUUCACUAUUUUGAAUGAUAUCGUUGAACCUUUAUUAA